rnacentral:rRNA from 1 species
CCCUUAGAUGUUCUGGGCGGCCCGCGCACUACAAUGGCGUGUGCAGCGAGUGCCGAAGUAGAGUUUUCCGAGGUAUUCUUGCAAUGCUCGUUUUGAUGGGGAUAGACCCUUGCAACUGUUGGUUUUGAACGAGGAAUUCCUUGUAAGCAUGGUUUAUCAUCCGACGCUGAAUGCGUCCCUGCCCUUUGUACACACCGCCCGUCGCUCCUACCGAUGAGUCGUCCGGUGAAGUUCGUAGACCUCGUGAUCGCGGAUCACUGGGGGAAGCAAAAUGAGCCUCGCGGUUUAGAGGAAGGAGAAGUCGUAACA